UACGGAGGGUGCAAGCGUUGUCCGGAAUCACUGGGCGUAAAGGGCGCGUAGGCGGCUCGGUAAGUAGGGGGUGAAAUCCUGCGGCUUAACCGCAGGGCUGCCUUCUAAACUGUCGAGCUCGAGCACGGUAGGGGCAGAUGGAAUUCCCGGUGUAGCGGUGGAAUGCGUAGAGAUCGGGAAGAACAUCAGUGGCGAAGGCGGUCUGCUGGGCCGUUGCUGACGCUGAGGCGCGACAGCGUGGGGAGCAAACAGG
rnacentral:rRNA from 1 species